AUGGCAGAAAGCAGAAGCGCCGGGAAAGACAGCUGGCGGUUUACGCCGGGCCGCCUUACGAGCAUGAGAGACUACCAGUUUUCGUCUCCCUCAGUCGGAAUGGUCUACCUAGGAUCAUUCCUUCAUUUCACCGUAAGACUCUUGGCGAGUUCUGCUUCUUCUUCUUCCCUCAGAUUCGGCAUAGCCUUCUUCAGAUUAUUCAUCCUUGUCUUCGUCUCUGUCUACCAGAUCGGAUCCAAUCAAAGCUGUUCGUCCCCCUUCUCGACGUUCCCGGAGGGUGGCUCUUCACUUGGUGUUCACUAUUCUAAGGUCUUGGCACUAACAAUGGCACAGACUUUCACUUCGACUUAG
rnacentral:lncRNA from 1 species